rnacentral:miRNA from 2 species
UUGAGGCGAGUUGAAGACUAAA